rnacentral:rRNA from 1 species
GACGUAGGUGGCGAACGUUAUCCGGAAUUAUUGGGCGUAAAGGGUGCGUAGACGGUGGAAUAAGUUGCUGGUGGGAAAUCGAGGCUCAACCUCGUGGAAGCCAGUAAUACUGUUUUACUUGAGUGCAGGAGAGGUUAACGGAACUCCAUGUGGAGCGGUAAAAUGUAUAGAUAUAUGGAAGAACAUCAAUAACGGCGAAGGCAGUUAACUAUUCUGUAACUGACGUUGAGGCACGAAAGCGUGGGGAGCAAAACGG